rnacentral:rRNA from 1 species
GAGCGAAAGCUUGACGCAGCGACGCCGCGUGCGGGAUGAAGGCCCUCGGGUCGUAAACCGCUUUCAGCAAGGGACGAAACUGACGGUACCUGCAAGAAGAAGCCCCGGCCAACUACGUGCCAGCAGCCGCGGUAAUACGUAGGGGGCAAGCGUUGUCCGGAUUUAUUGGGCGUAAAGAGCUCGUAGGCGGUUCGACAAGGCCGACGGUGAAAUCUCCACGCUCAACGUGGAGGGGUCCGUCGGAACUGUCGUGACUAGAGUCCGGUAGGGGAGUGUGGAAUUUCCGGUGUAGCGGUGAAAUGCGCAGAGAUCGGAAGGAACACCCGUAGCGAAGGCGGCACUCUGGGCCGGUACUGACGCUGAGGAGCGAAAGCGUGGGGAGCAAACAGGAUUAGAUACCCUGGUAGUCCACGCUGUAAACGAUGAUCACUAGACGUUGGCUUUGCUUAGCAGAGUCAGUGUCGCAGCUAACGCGUUAAGUGAUCCGCCUGGGGACUACGGUCGCGAGACUA